CCUACGGGAGGCAGCAGUGGGGAAUAUUGCACAAUGGGGGAAACCCUGAUGCAGCGACGCCGCGUGAGUGAAGAAGUCUUUCUGUAUGUAAAGCUCUGUCAGCAGGGAAGAAAAUGACGGUACCUGACCAAGACGCCCCGGCUAACUACGUGACAGCACCCGCGGUCCUACGUAGGGCGCAAGCGUUAUCCGGAUUUACUGGGUGUAAAGGGAGCGUAGACGGCAGGGCAAGUCUGGAGUGAAAGCCGGGGGCUCAACCACCGGACUGCUCGUGAAACUGCCAGGCUGGAGUGCAGGAGAGGUAAGUGGAAUGCCUAGUGUAGCGGUGAAAUGCGUAGAGAUUAGGAGGAACACCAGUGGCGAAGGCGGCUUACUGGACUGUAACUGACGUUGAGGCUCGAAAGCGUGGGGAGCAAACAGGAUUAGAUACCCGGGUAGUC
rnacentral:rRNA from 1 species